ACCCGGGAGAGACUUGGACCCACUAGACACAGAGCCACGGUAAAGAAGACACGGCCACAGGCAGAAAGACGGGAAACAGCCGCUACAGAGUGCUUGGUGGACGGACCAGUCCCCAGAGAACGAAACUCUUUCCUAAUUCGGAGGCCUGGUUGUUAAAGGUUUCCCGCCCGAUAUCUGGCUCAGGGUUCGGCUGAUACAUCACAUCGCACCCCACCACGCCGGACCCCAUGUCCAGUUUUUCCCCCGCCGGCACAGUCCUGGUGGACCAGGGGCCAACACCCAGGCCACAGCUCCCUUUCCGGAUUGCGGGCCUCAGCUCGCAGCAGAUUCUCAUCUCCUGAUUUCUGGGCGCCUGCCCAAACACCCCCUACUCACUGUUUUGCAGCAUCGAAAUGGGCUGCGGGCGGGACGUAUAUCUUGGAAAGAGGCUGGCAAGUGGGAGAGACGACGUCGGCGCCCCCGGACCUGCGACGGCCUCCGCCCUCCACUCUCCACCACCCCCACUUUAUGGAAUAUCCCAGGGUCAUUAAGCAAUCUUCUGAAGCUGUGACUUCCCAAGCCAGAGCCUGCCUGCAGGGAGAGAAUGGACAGGUUCUGAAAACAUUAAACAGACUUGCCUGGGCACUUAAGCAUUUUCCUUUUUCACUUUUAAGAUCAUGUAUCAGAUGUCUACUAUGUCCUCUAAAAAGCAUUUGUGGGUGCAUAUAAUGGAGAACCAAGUGGUUUUAAGUCACAGCCCCUGUGCUUGUUGGUAAGGACUAUGAAUUAAAGUGACAACGACGUAAAAGAACUGAGAAGGUUCAUUCUUUAGGAAGUUUUAGACAGGGCGUGGAUUAAAACUAGAAGGUUCUGAUAAACUGAGAGACUGGUGCUUUCUUCUGUGUUUUGUACUGAAAUGACUGGAUGAUAUACCAAAGGGGAGAAACAUUUUGUAGCAAUGAAGAGAAGGAGGCGUGAAGCUUUUGUCCCUGAAACUUGAUAAAAUGUGAAAAUGAGCUCACUCACAUUGCUGAACCAAUCACCUGCCUUUAUUAAGCUCUGCAUAUUUCUUAGUUCUUCCUCAUGUUUAUAUUCAAAAUAAACAAGAGUCUCUUGUGUAAGUUCAUAGUAGCCAAAAGCUAAAAUCACAGUUUAAUCGGAGUGGUUUGUUCCUAAGUUUUCGGAGAUAGAAUUCACUUAUCUAAGACAAUCACAGAAAGACAGCAUAAGGGCACGGUGGCAAAGCAAACAAAGUAGAGAGGUGGGGAAAAUGGGACAUGGUAUUGAUAAAAGAGCCUGGUUGUUAGGAAGACCGGAGAGGAGUGAUAUGUUCUUCUAUUUGCCAACAAGGCAUUAAGCACUCCCAGGCUCACCUCCUGCAAGGGCCUCCUCCACACAGGGCCCCUCACAGGGAGGGCCUCCGGCUGGCUGGCGACUCAAAUUUCAAUAUUCUAAGAAGGAAGCAGCCUGGGGGGGGUCUAUAUUUAGAGUAUGACUCCCAGCAGUGAACAGGUGGCGGCUGGGGACUCACUCUUGCAUAUUUUGUCCCUGAGUUCUGAGGGGUUUGUGAGGGUGGUACAGUAAAGUUACUAGGAAAGGCAGGGAGUGAAAAGGCCUCUUUUCUCCUGGGGACUACUUGAGAUCCUGUAUUUCGUUCUUGUACCUAUGAGAGGGGAAAGAAAUUGAUGUCACCAGUGUGUUGACAAUCUACAGUCAUCCACAGACCCUCAUCCCCAUUGUCAGUGGAAAAUGCUGCAGAUUCAUCAUUUAUGAUACAGUGAUACAGUACAUGAAUGGCAGAACUAAGGAGACCUCACUAGUCUUUGAUAUCUUCACCUGUCAAGUACAACUCUCAUCAAUGUGAUAGCAGAGAGACCCCUAAUUUCAGGGUGGUUCAUGGGUCCCAUCGUGAAACUAUAGUACAGAAUGUAAAUCCCUUUGAAAAGCAGGUAAUCUGUGAUGUCACUAAUUUGUAAAGUUUAUCUAAAACCUAAAUUGGUGUCUGAAUAAAAUCUAUCUUUUGGGUAAGACUGAAAGUCAUUAUUGAACCUUGUACAAGAUCUCAAUCAUCUGACACCUGUGAGUUCACUCAGGCUAAAAAAAGGGGGCAAAUAAAUGGCUCACACAUCUAAAAUGGUCAAAACUUGAACACUGACCUCAUUACUGAUCCAUUUAUGUUUCGUCGAUCAUACUCAAAGCAUGCUGGUUUUGUUUGUAAGGAUAUGUUUUAAAAACUGUAAGAUGCUAUUUUACAGCUGCUAUUUAAAAGAAAAUACUUUUGGUAUUGUACUAAUUAACUUUGCCAAAUCAGUGAG